GAUGAACGCUAGCGGCAGGCCUAAUACAUGCAAGUCGAACGAGAUUAAGAGGCUUGCUUCUUAUGAAAGUGGCGCACGGGUGCGUAACGCGUAUGCAACCUACCUUAAUCAGGGGGAUAGCCCGAAGAAAUUCGGAUUAAGACCGCAUAAAAACACAGGAUAGCAUUAUCCAAUGUUCAAAUAUUUAUAGGAUUAAGAUGGGCAUGCGUGUCAUUAGCUAGUUGGCGGGGUAACGGCCCACCAAGGCGACGAUGACUAGGGGAUCUGAGAGGAUGACCGCCCACACGGGAACUGGGACACGGACCAGACGCCUGCGGGAGGCAGCAGUAAGGAAUAUUGGGCAAUGGAGGGGACUCUGAACCAGCCAGGCCGCGUGCAGGAAGACAGCCCUCUGGGUCGUAAACUGCUUUUAGUCGGGAAUAAACCUUUCUACGUGUAGGAAGCUGAAUGUACCGAAGGAAUAAGGAUCGGCUAACUCCGUG
rnacentral:rRNA from 1 species